rnacentral:rRNA from 1 species
AUUGAACGCUGGCGGCAUGCUUUACACAUGCAAGUCGAACGGUAACAGGCCUUCGGGUGCUGACGAGUGGCGAACGGGUGAGUAAUGCAUCGGAACGUACCCAGAGGUGGGGGAUAACGCAGCGAAAGCUGUGCUAAUACCGCAUGUGAUCUGAGGAUGAAAGCGGGGGACCGAGCAGCAAUGUUUGGCCUCGCGCCUUUGGAGCGGCCGAUGUCGGAUUAGCUAGUUGGUGGGGUAAAGGCCUACCAAGGCGACGAUCCGUAGCUGGUCUGAGAGGACGACCAGCCACACUGGGACUGAGACACGGCCCAGACUCCUACGGGAGGCAGCAGUGGGGAAUUUUUGGACAAUGGGCGCAAGCCUGAUCCAGCAAUGCCGCGUGCGGGAAGAAGGCCUUCGGGUUGUAAACCGCUUUUGGCAGGAACGAAACGGUGUCCGCUAAUACCGGGCGCUAAUGACGGUACCUGCAGAAUAAGCACCGGCUAACUACGUG